GUAACCCCUCUUCUUAUUGGACUUAACGAUAGUGAUCACCGAUUUCACCACAACUACAAGAUCACUUAAAAGCCAUGCCCCUAGGUUGAGCAACUACAAGGACUUGUGUUAAAUCUAGUAUAAAAUGGUGAGUUGUUGGAGAGAAGACAUGGACUUGACUCCUGAUCACACAGACCAGCUCUAGCAUCUUGUUACUGAAGCUCAACAGAACCUACAGAAUCUACCUGUGAAUCCAGUCUAAAUUCCUGUCAAUCAUGAGGUCCUUGGCUGUAGCUGUAAUCCUGUGUGUACUGCUGCCACUUUUCCAUGCUGGCUGCUGGUUUAAACCAGCAGAACCAGGUAUGAGGCAGUGUCUUUACAACAAGGAUGGGACGUGGCAUGAUAUUGGGUCCCGCUGGAGGACCAGUGAUUGCAUGAACUGCUAUUGUCAAACCAACGGGGACAUGUCAUGCUGCCAGGCAUAUUCUGAGCCCACAAGAUUUCCUGAUGAUUGCGUGAAGGAGUUUGACCAAAAGGCAUGUAAAUACAACGUGUUCAAGAAAACUGAUCGCUCCAUUCCAUGUCCUAUCUACGGCGGUAAAGGGAAGUGAUAGGUUUUCUUCCCCGUGCUCUCAAUAAACAGGGAAUGAAGAAGGAAAGGGAAAAGUACAGUUAUUGUUUUAUAGAUUUAAUUGACAUAAUUGUUAGCUUAGCUCUGCCAUACUGUCUGGUAACUUUCUGUAACUGUAAUGAUUGAAAAGCCAUAAUGUAAUAUGUCUAUCAUUGAAGAUCUGUUAUCAUCUGUGCUGACUGUGUCAUGAGAAGAACCUGGGUUCAAAAACUAUCUGAAACUGUGAGCAUUUGAUAUGUCCUGCCUGGAGUGCCAGAUGGGCGGAGUUUGCUAUUUUGGGACAAUUCUAUUGGUUCAUUAAGUCAGUGUUUCCCGACCCUGGUCCUCCAGUACCCCCAACAGUACAAAUGUUUACUGCAAACCUGGACAAGCAUACUUGACUCAACUUGUUAACUAAUCAUAAAGCUUUCAAUGAGUUGAAUGAGGUGUGUUUGUCCAGGGCUACAGUGUAAAUGUGUUCUGUUGGGGGUGCUGGAGGACCAGGGUUGGGCUGUUCGGGGUACUGGAGGACCAGGGUUGGGCUGUUCGGGGUACUGGAGGACCAGGGUUGGGCUGUUCGGGGUACUGGAGGACCAGGGUUGGGCUGUUCGGGGUACUGGAGGACCAGGGUUGGGUUGUUCGGGGUACUGGAGGACCAGGGUUGGGCUGUUCGGGGUACUGCAGGACCAGGGUUGGGCUGUUCGGGGUACUGCAGGACCAGGGUUGGGCUGUUCGGGGUACUGGAGGACCAGGGUUGGGCUGUUCAGGGUACUGCAGGACCAGGGUUGGGCUGUUCGGGGUACUGCAGGACCAGGGUUGGGCUGUUCAGGGUACUGCAGGACCAGGGUUGGGCUGUUCGGGGUAUGCAGGACCAGGGUUGGGCUGUUCGGGGUACUGCAGGACCAGGGUUGGGCUGUUCGGGGUACUGGAGGACCAGGGUUGGGCUGUUCGGGGUACUGGAGGACCAGGGUUGGGCUGUUCGGAGUACUGGAGGACCAGGGUUGGGCUGUUCGGGGUACUGCAAGACCAGGGGUGGGAAACACUGCAUUUAGCCAUGCAAGCUCAAUCAAUCAAGAUGAAGUAUUUGAAAUGAUUUCAAAUACUAUUUGAACCCAGGUCUGUUAAAGACACACAAGCUGCAUAAUGUACAUGAAGUGUUGAUAUAUAACCUUGAAUAAUAAUAAUAAUAAUAAUACUGUUUGUUGUUAACGCUUUCUUAUUAGUCCAUAGCCAUAAAGGUGGAUAUUGAUAUGCUGUUUCUUCUAUGGUUCCUGACCCACAAUACAGUUGCUUUGGAUGCAUUCUGUCAUUUAAUGUCAAUAAAUCUAUACGAUCAAGGUUGUCUUGUCCUUGGGGGUUAUGUGUAGACACUCUAAAACCCUGGUCACAUGACAUAGGA
rnacentral:lncRNA from 1 species